rnacentral:rRNA from 1 species
AGAGUUUGAUCAUGGCUCAGAUUGAACGCUGGCGGCAGGCCUAACACAUGCAAGUCGAACGGUAACAGGAAGCAGCUUGCUGCUUCGCUGACGAGUGGCGGACGGGUGAGUAAUGUCUGGGAAGCUGCCUGAUGGAGGGGGAUAACUACUGGAAACGGUAGCUAAUACCGCAUAAUGUCGCAAGACCAAAGAGGGGGACCUUCGGGCCUCUUGCCAUCGGAUGUGCCCAGAUGGGAUUAGCUUGUUGGUGGGGUAACGGCUCACCAAGGCGACGAUCCCUAGCUGGUCUGAGAGGAUGACCAGCCACACUGGAACUGAGACACGGUCCAGACUCCUACGGGAGGCAGCAGUGGGGAAUAUUGCACAAUGGGCGCAAGCCUGAUGCAGCCAUGCCGCGUGUAUGAAGAAGGCCUUCGGGUCGUAAAGUACUUUCAGCGGGGAGGAAGGGAGUAAAGUUAAUACCUUUGCUCAUUGACGUUACCCGCAGAAGAAGCACCGGCUAACUCCGUGCCAGCAGCCGCGGUAAUACGGAGGGUGCAAGCGUUAAUCGGAAUUACUGGGCGUAAAGCGCACGCAGGCGGUUUGUUAAGUCAGAUGUGAAAUCCCCGGGCUCAACCAGGGAACUGCAUCUGAUACUGGCAAGCUUGAGUCUCGUAGAGGGGGGUAGAAUUCCAGGUGUAGCGGUGAAAUGCGUAGAGAUCUGGAGGAAUACCUGGCGAAGGCGGCCCCCUGGACGAAGACUGACGCUCAGGUGCGAAAGCGUGGGGAGCAAACAGGAUUAGAUACCCUGGUAGUCCACGCCGUAAACGAUGUCGACUUGGAGGUUGUGCCCUUGAGGCGUGGCUUCCGGAGCUAACGCGUUAAGUCGACCGCCUGGGGAGUACGGCCGCAAGGUUAAAACUCAAAUGAAUUGACGGGGGCCCGCACAAGCGGUGGAGCAUGUGGUUUAAUUCGAUGCAACGCGAAGAACCUUACCUGGUCUUGACAUCCACGGAAGUUUUCAGAGAUGAGAAUGUGCCUUCGGGAACCGUGAGACAGGUGCUGCAUGGCUGUCGUCAGCUCGUGUUGUGAAAUGUUGGGUUAAGUCCCGCAACGAGCGCAACCCUUAUCCUUUGUUGCCAGCGGUCCGGCCGGGAACUCAAAGGAGACUGCCAGUGAUAAACUGGAGGAAGGUGGGGAUGACGUCAAGUCAUCAUGGCCCUUACGACCAGGGCUACACACGUGCUACAAUGGCGCAUACAAAGAGAAGCGACCUCGCGAGAGCAAGCGGACCUCAUAAAGUGCGUCGUAGUCCGGAUUGGAGUCUGCAACUCGACUCCAUGAAGUCGGAAUCGCUAGUAAUCGUGGAUCAGAAUGCCACGGUGAAUACGUUCCCGGGCCUUGUACACACCGCCCGUCACACCAUGGGAGUGGGUUGCAAAAGAAGUAGGUAGCUUAACCUUCGGGAGGGCGCUUACCACUUUGUGAUUCAUGACUGGGGUGAAGUCGGAACAAGGUA